rnacentral:rRNA from 1 species
CCUACGGGUGGCAGCAGUCGAGAAUCUUUCACAAUGGGGGAAACCCUGAUGGUGCGACGCCGCGUGGGGGAGUGAAUGUCUUCGGAUUGUAAACCCCUUUCAUGUGGGAGCAAAUUAAAAAGAUAGUACCACAAGCGGAAGAUACGUCUAACUCUGUGCCAGCAGCCGCGGGAAUACAGAGGUCUCAAGCGGUGUUCGGAGUCACUGGGCGUAAAGCGUGCGUAGGCUGUUUCGUAAGUCGGGUGUGAAAGGCGCGGGCUCAACCCGCGGACGGCACAUGAUACUGAGAGACUAGAGUGAAGGAGAGGGAAGCGGAAUUCUCGGUGUAGCAGUGAAAUGCGUAGAUAUUGAGAGGAACACUAGUGGCGAAGGCGGGUUACUGGACAUUAACUGACGCUGAGGCACGAAGGCGAGGGGAGCGAAAGGGAUUAGAUACCCGGGUAGUC